rnacentral:sRNA from 12 species
AGCCUAAACCAGUAAGCAAUUGCUGGCAUGGUGAAGAAGUCUGAUCAGAGCUAAAAAACCCAUCAUAUGGGGUUGCUCUGAUCAGCCACGUCGGGAAACCGGCGCGGAGGGCGCAAGUCCUC